rnacentral:rRNA from 1 species
UACGUAGGUGGCAAGCGUUGUCCGGAUUUAUUGGGUUUAAAGGGUGCGUAGGCGGUCUUCUAAGUCAGUUGUGAAAUACUUCAGCUUAACUGGAGAGGUGCAAUUGACACUGGAAGACUUGAGUACUGAUGAGGUAGGCGGAAUGGACGGUGUAGCGGUGAAAUGCUUAGAUAUCGUCCAGAACACCGAUAGCGAAGGCAGCUUACUAAGGAGUAACUGACGCUGAGGCACGAAAGUGUGGGGAUCAAACGGG